rnacentral:lncRNA from 1 species
AUGUACUGUGAUUCUCUUGGUACAGUAUUUGUUGGAUUUUUAUUUAUUUAUGAUGUAUAUUUAUUUCCCCCACCCCCCUCCUCCCUCGGGCCCCCUCCUGCCUCACCUUUCUCCUCCCCGCCCCCGUACAUUUCUGGAUGUGACAGCACUUUAACGGGCGGUUCGCGACUCCGGGGGGGCACCACCUCUGUACGGGAUUUUGGUUCUUUAAUAAAAGCCGACUUUAAGCACCGCCUGCUCCGUGCGGGAAGGGGGGUGUGGGGGGGUCGGUGGCUGCGGGCCGCCCCCUCGGGGCGCACAGCCCGAGGUGCCCUCGCUGCAGCCGCCCGCACCCCGCGCAGUUCCCCGCUCCUUUCUCCUCCCCCGCACCGCAGCCGGGAGCUCAUUAAUGCCCAUUUAUAUGCUCGUUUCACACAUGAAAGUAUCACAUUAAUGAGCUCCGGGAGCGGGCUGGGAGGGGGGUUUGCGCACCUUAUAGCCCGAAAUUCCAGUUCCCAUCCCCAGCGCCGCGACUCUGCGGGACACCCGAGAGCAGCGCGGCGGGGGCGGCCCGGGGGAGCUGAGGAGCUGGGGCAGGGCAGGAGAGUUUGGGACGGGGCUGCGCCUCGGGCAGGGGGUUCUCCGGGCUGCGGGUACAGCGCUGUGCCCCGGGGAUGCCCCACGGCCCGGGGGGAGCCGCGUGAUGCCCAUCCCAGGGGUCACGCACCCCAGGACGCGGAUCGGCCGCGCUCAGCAGCCGCUGCGCAUCCGAGAGAAGCGCUGCAGUUCCGCGGCCUCGGCCGCCACCGCGUGGGCGCAGCCGGAGGCGCAGCUCCCCCCUCAAACAACCCGUCGGGGCAGCGCGGCCCGAGCCCCGCUCGGCUCCAGGUGGGUUCCGCAGCCCGGGGUUGGGCUCAGCUGGGCGCGUUGGGCAGCGGGAGCGGAUCGCCAGCACCUGGGGCAGGGAGGGGGCAUAAAAACCAACGGGUGGCAGUUCAACCUCCUCCCCUGGGCUCCCUUCUGUCCUUGGAGCUUUGCUUUUGCUCUGAGGAGAACUCCCGUGGUUUCUUUGGGGACGUCAGUUGA